rnacentral:rRNA from 1 species
GACGAACGCUGGCGGCGUGCCUAAUACAUGCAAGUCGAGCGGAAUGAUGAAGAAGCUUGCUUCUUCUGAUUUUAGCGGCGGACGGGUGAGUAACACGUGGGCAACCUACCUUGUAGAUUGGGAUAACUCCGGGAAACCGGGGCUAAUACCGAAUAAUCCAUUUUGCUUCAUGGCGAGAUGUUGAAAGACGGUUUCGGCUGUCACUAUAAGAUGGGCCCGCGGCGCAUUAGCUAGUUGGUAGGGUAAUGGCCUACCAAGGCGACGAUGCGUAGCCGACCUGAGAGGGUGAUCGGCCACACUGGGACUGAGACACGGCCCAGACUCCUACGGGAGGCAGCAGUAGGGAAUCUUCCACAAUGGACGAAAGUCUGAUGGAGCAACGCCGCGUGAGUGAAGAAGGUUUUCGGAUCGUAAAACUCUGUUGUAAAGGAAGAACACGUACGAGAGUAACUGCUCGUACCUUGACGGUACCUUAUUAGAAAGCCACGGCUAACUACGUG